UACGUAGGGGGCAAGCGUUGUCCGGAUUUAUUGGGCGUAAAGAGCGUGUAGGCGGUCUGGUAGGUCCGCUGUGAAAACUCGAGGCUCAACCUCGAGACGCCGGUGGAAACCAUCAGACUAGAGUCCGGAAGAGGAGAGCGGAAUUCCUGGUGUAGCGGUGGAAUGCGUAGAGAUCCGGAAGAACACCGGUGGCGAAGGCGGCCUGCUGGGCAGUAGCUGACACUGAGGCGCGACAGCGUGGGGAGCAAACAGG
rnacentral:rRNA from 1 species